rnacentral:misc_RNA from 1 species
GUUGACCUUACAGCAAAUCUAACA